GGGUCUUUAGCUCAGCUGGCAGAGCGACUGGUUUACACCCAGUAGGUCAUCGGUUCGAUCCCGGUAGGACCCACCC
rnacentral:tRNA from 1 species